GUCCGGAAUUAUUGGGCGUAAAGAGCUCGUAGGCGGCUUGUCACGUCGGAUGUGAAAGCCCGGGGCUUAACCCCGGGUCUGCAUUCGAUACGGGCUAGCUAGAGUGUGGUAGGGGAGAUCGGAAUUCCUGGUGUAGCGGUGAAAUGCGCAGAUAUCAGGAGGAACACCGGUGGCGAAGGCGGAUCUCUGGGCCAUUACUGACGCUGAGGAGCGAAAGCGUGGGGAGCGAACAGGAUUAGAUACCCUGGUAGUCCACGCCGUAAACGUUGGGAACUAGGUGUUGGCGACAUUCCACGUCGUCGGUGCCGCAGCUAACGCAUUAAGUUCCCCGCCUGGGGAGUACGGCCGCAAGGCUAAAACUCAAAGGAAUUGACGGGGGCCCGCACAAGCAGCGGAGCAUGUGGCUUAAUUCGACGCAACGCGAAGAACCUUACCAAGGCUUGACAUAUACCGGAAACGGCUAGAGAUAGUCGCCCCCUUGUGGUCGGUAUACAGGUGGUGCAUGGC
rnacentral:rRNA from 1 species